GACAGAGGGGGCAAGCGUUGCUCGGAAUUACUGGGCGUAAAGGGCGUGUAGGCGGGCAGGUAAGUCGGGCGUGAAAUCCCUGAGCUCAACUCAGGAACUGCACUCGAAACUACUUGUCUUGAGUACCGGAGAGGAAAGCGGAAUACCUGGUGUAGAGGUGAAAUUCGUAGAUAUCAGGUGGAACACCAGUGGCGAAGGCGGCUUUCUGGACGGUAACUGACGCUGAGACGCGAAAGCGUGGGGAGCAAACAGG
rnacentral:rRNA from 1 species